rnacentral:rRNA from 1 species
GCUGUCGUCAGCUCGUGUUGUGAAAUGUUGGGUUAAGUCCCGCAACGAGCGCAACCCUUAUCCUUUGUUGCCAGCGGUCCGGCCGGGAACUCAAAGGAGACUGCCAGUGAUAAACUGGAGGAAGGUGGGGAUGACGUCAAGUCAUCAUGGCCCUUACGACCAGGGCUACACACGUGCUACAAUGGCGCAUACAAAGAGAAGCGACCUCGCGAGAGCAAGCGGACCUCAUAAAGUGCGUCGUAGUCCGGAUUGGAGUCUGCAACUCGACUCCAUGAAGUCGGAAUCGCUAGUAAUCGUGGAUCAGAAUGCCACGGUGAAUACGUUCCCGGGCCUUGUACACACCGCCCGUCACACCAUGGGAGUGGGUUGCAAAAGAAGUAGGUAGCUUAACCUUCGGGAGGGCGCUUACCACUUUGUGAUUCAUGACUGGGGUG